GCCCUACAGAAGGAAGGGGGCGGGACCAGAGGCCCCGAACCUUUGAUCCAACCUUUGGGCUUCUGCCACGUUGUGUGACGUAAGCGAGCAUCUCGCACCUGAAUCAGAGGCAGCAGGGACGCAAAAACGUCCCCACGGAGAUGUCCAACAAGAUCACAGCAUUCAAGCCUAAAAGUGACCUAUGGAAGUCCUAACUGGAUCAGAACCAUCUCGCCCACUUUCCUGGUUGUCAGAGCAUCAAAACCUGAAGCCAGACCUAAACUUUAAUCUACAAGAGUUCAUAGCGGGUCACCGCAGGGCUGCAGGCUAACGGCAUUAGCAUAAACUCUACUACUCUCUGGUGGAGCACUGUAGCCGGAGAGCUAAAUGCUAACAUGUCAGCUUGGCAUUAAAUAGACUGUUUCGGUGUGAGUUGUUAAUCCAGAGUAGGUAUUUUAAUCCCAGAUGAGCACCGACCACUAAAUUUAAAACAAGCACAUCCUAAAAGACUAAAAGUGAAUCAAGACACGAAGAGUUAACAAGUAUUUUUAUUAAUAAAGUAACUUUAUCAGAUUCCAUUGACUUUAUUAUGAUGCGUUCAAGCUCUACUCUGUACAAAUGAGUGCUGAGUGAAGGUAAGAUCAUAACAGUCAUAGAGCGUUUUUUUUUUUAAUCUGAAUUU
ensembl:lncRNA